rnacentral:rRNA from 1 species
CACGUAGGGUGCGAGCGUUGUCCGGAAUUAUUGGGCGUAAAGAGCUCGUAGGCGGUGUGUCGCGUCGGCCGUGAAAACCUGGGGCUUAACUCUGGGCUUGCGGUCGAUACGGGCAUCACUGGAGUUCGGCAGGGGAGACUGGAAUUCCUGGUGUAGCGGUGAAAUGCGCAGAUAUCAGGAGGAACACCGGUGGCGAAGGCGGUUCUCUUGGCCGUAACUGACGCUGAGGAGCGAAAGCGUGGGGAGCGAACAGG